UACGUAGGGUGCGAGCGUUGUCCGGAAUUAUUGGGCGUAAAGGGCUCGUAGGCGGUCUGUCGCGUCGGGUGUGAAAACUCAGGGCUUAACCCUGAGCCUGCUUCCGAUACGGGCAGACUAGAGGUAUGCAGGGGAGAACGGAAUUCCUGGUGUAGCGGUGAAAUGCGCAGAUAUCAGGAGGAACACCGGUGGCGAAGGCGGUUCUCUGGGCAUUACCUGACGCUGAGGAGCGAAAGUGUGGGGAGCGAACAGG
rnacentral:rRNA from 1 species